rfam:Brachypodium distachyon strain Bd21 chromosome 2, whole genome shotgun sequence.
UAAGUACUCCCUCUGUCCAACAAAGGAUGUCUCAACUUUGACUAAAUUUGAAUGCAUCUAUACAUUAAGUCAUGUAUAGAUGCAUCCAAAUUUUGACAAACUUGAGACAUCUUUUGUCGGACGGAGGGAGUACAAG